rnacentral:lncRNA from 1 species
GAGGCCGGUGCGGUAGGAGGAGGAGCAAGACAAGGAAGGUUUGGACGAUGCAUCUUCGUCGCCGUAGUCUGCCACCGGAAUGAGAAGUUCACGAUCGCGCUUCUCUGUCUCUGCUAGCCGGAUUAUUACGUGCAUAUAAGGACUUGAAGGAAAUGUUGUGUUUUGUUGUACCGCUAAUUAAACAGGGGGCGGAUUAAUUACUGCUUAAUCUCUC